GUGUAGCAAUACAUGCUGACGAGCGGCGAACGGGUGAGUAAUGCUUCGGAAUCUGCCCAAUGGUGGGGAAUAACCAGCCGAAAGGUUGGCUAAUACCGCAUAAGUCCUACGGGGGAAAGCAGGGGAUCGCAAGACCUUGCGCCGAUGGAUGAGCCGAAGUCGGAUUAGCUAGUUGGUAGGGUAACGGCCUACCAAGGCGACGAUCCGUAGCUGGUCUGAGAGGACGACCAGCCACACUGGGACUGAGACACGGCCCAGACUCCUACGGGAGGCAGCAGUGGGGAAUAUUGGACAAUGGGGGAAACCCUGAUCCAGCGACGCCGCGUGUGUGAAGAAGGCCUGCGGGUUGUAAAGCACUUUUAGUGGGGAUGAAAAGCUCAGGGCUAACACCUCUGGGUCUUGACCUAACCCAAAGAAAAAGCACCGGCUAACUCUGUGCCAGCAGCCGCGGUAAUACAGAGGGUGCGAGCGUUAAUCGGAAUUACUGGGCGUAA
rnacentral:rRNA from 1 species